rnacentral:rRNA from 1 species
UAAGACAUAGGUUGCGAACGUUAUCCGGAAUUAUUGGGCGUAAAGGAUGCGUAGAUGGUUUGAUAAGUUAUCAGUGGCAAAUCGGGGCUCAACCUCGUGGAAGCUGGUAAUACUGUCAUACUCGAGUGCAGGAGAAGUUAACGGAACUCUAUAUGGAGCGGUAAAAUGUGACGAUAUAUAGAAGAACACCAAUAAGGCGAAGGCAGUUAACUAUUCUGUUACUGACAUUGAGGCAUGAAAGCGUGGGGAGCAAAACGGAUUAGAUACCCGUGUAGUCCACGCCCUAAACGAUGAGUGCUAGAUAUUGGGAACUAGAUUCUCAGUGUCGCUAGUUAACACGGUAAGCACUCCGCCUGGGUAGUACGAUCGCAAGGUUG